rnacentral:lncRNA from 1 species
AACUUACAGCAAUAGCCUCUGACGCUCUCCAGCCGUUUAUGCAAUUUUGAAACAGCAGCAUUCAUACUACGCUUUGUCACAUACAUAAGAUCUGAGAAUUUUAGACCCUAACCAUUUGUGAAGAGCAAAUAUUAGAUUUGCUUAAAGAAGACAACAACUCACAUAACCAAUGGAUGAAAUAAUAUGAACAUAAAUAUAUCAUCUGGAUACCUUCCACCACAUGUAACCAUAACCCAACGCCCCCAAGGUAGCUGUUGGCAUUAUUAGUGAUGUCAAACCUAUUAAAAAAAUCAAAGAAAAAAUAUAACCAAGUAUAAAAUGUUUCUAUUGCAUUAUGAAAUACAUACGUGUAAGGAAUUAAUCAUUUUACAACUUAACCAAAAAGUCAGGGCAGGAGCAUGCAUUCAUUGAGUGGUUAUAAGCAAGAGGAAAAAGCACAAAGCAUGCUAAGAAUUCAUUUGAACACAGAAGAGAAAGUAAGCUACCUUGAAUUUGGCUGUCAUUCCCCUUCAGGAUGGCUCUCUGUAGUGACGAGCCUAGUUGCCGGACCGCAG